rnacentral:tRNA from 1 species
AAGAUUUUAAGUUAAUUAAACUAAGGGUCUUCAAAACCCUAAAUGGGAAAAACCCAAAUCUUG